GACGAACGCUGGCGGCGUGCUUAGCACAUGCAAGUCGAACGGAAAGGCCCUGCUUUUGUGGGGUGCUCGAGUGGCGAACGGGUGAGUAACACGUGAGUAACCUGCCCUUGACUUUGGGAUAACUUCAGGAAACUGGGGCUAAUACCGGAUAGGAGCUCCUGCUGCAUGGUGGGGGUUGGAAAGUUUCGGCGGUUGGGGAUGGACUCGCGGCUUAUCAGCUUGUUGGUGGGGUAGUGGCUUACCAAGGCUUUGACGGGUAGCCGGCCUGAGAGGGUGACCGGCCACAUUGGGACUGAGAUACGGCCCAGACUCCUACGGGAGGCAGCAGUGGGGAAUAUUGCACAAUGGGCGGAAGCCUGAUGCAGCAACGCCGCGUGCGGGAUGACGGCCUUCGGGUUGUAAACCGCUUCCGCCUGUGACGAAGCGUGAGUGACGGUAAUGGGUAAAGAAGCACCGGCUAACUACGUG
rnacentral:rRNA from 1 species